rnacentral:rRNA from 1 species
UACGGAGGGAGCUAGCGUUGUUCGGAAUUACUGGGCGUAAAGCGCACGUAGGCGGCUUUGUAAGUUAGAGGUGAAAGCCCGGGGCUCAACUCCGGAACUGCCUUUAAGACUGCAUCGCUUGAAUCCAGGAGAGGUGAGUGGAAUUCCGAGUGUAGAGGUGAAAUUCGUAGAUAGUCGGAAGAACACCAGUGGCGAAGGCGGCUCACUGGACUGGUAUUGACGCUGAGGUGCGAAAGCGUGGGGAGCAAACAGG